GCAGUGUUCCGGCUUCAUCGCUGGCAUCAGAUACGGAUGCGAGAGGAAAGUCCGGGCAGCACAGGGUGCUCCACUUGCGAAAGUACAAGCUAUUGGUGACAGUAGGUAAAGGCAGAAGAAAAGGACCGCCUCUUUUCGGGAGGUAAGGGUGAGAAGGUGGUGUAAGAGACCACCAGACGGCUGGUGACAGCCGUGCUGUGCCAUCUGGAGGCUGCAAGUUCAAGUAAACCAUCGUCAUGACAGGGUUACCCGCCCGAGAGGCUUCAACCUUACGAUGGAGGGUAGAAUGCUAAGCCGCAAGGCUAAAGCUGUGUGGUGACAUACAGAAUAGAUAAAUGAUGAGGCGCCCCAGUGCUCCGAGAGGAGUACAGGGGAGACAGAACCCGGCUUACAGGAGCACUGUCCUC
rnacentral:RNase_P_RNA from 1 species